AUUGAACGCUGGCGGCAGGCCUAACACAUGCAAGUCGAGCGAGCGGCGGACGGGUGAGUAAUGUCUGGGAAACUGCUUGAUGGGGGGGGAUAACUACUGGAAACGGUAGCUAAUACCGCAUACCAUCAGAUGUGCCCAGAUGGGAUUAGCAGUUGGUGGGGGUAAGGGCUCACGAAGGCGACGAUCCGUAGCUGUUUGGAGAGGACGACCAGCCACACGGGGACUGGGACACGGCCAGGACUCCUACGGGGGGCAGCAGUGGGGAAUUUUGGACAAUGGGGGAAACCCGGAUGCGGCCAUCCGGGGUGUGGGAGGAAGGCCUUCGGGUUGUAAAGCACUUUGGGAAGGAAGGCGGUACCUGCAGAAUAAGCACCGGCUAACUACGUGCCAGCAGCCGCGGUAAUUC
rnacentral:rRNA from 1 species